UACGUAGGGGGCGAGCGUUGUCCGGAGUUACUGGGCGUAAAGGGCGUGCAGGCGGUGCGGUAAGUUUAGCGUGACAGUCUCCGGCUUAACUGGAGAAGGCCGCUGAAAACUGCUGGACUUGAGGGCCAGAGAGGGACAUAGAAUUCCGGGGUGGAGUGGUGAAAUGCGUAGAUAUCCGGAGGAAUACCAAAGGCGAAGGCAGUGUCCUGGCUGGCAACUGACGCUGAGGCGCGAAAGCUAGGGGAGCGAACAGG
rnacentral:rRNA from 1 species